AACGAACGCUGGCGGCAUGCCUAACACAUGCAAGUCGAACGAGACCUUCGGGUCUAGUGGCGCACGCGUGCGUCACGCGUGGGACCCUGCCCUUAGGUUUGGAAUAACUCCCCGUAGGGGGUGCUAAUACAGGAUAAUGUCUUCGGACCAAAGAUUUAUCGCCUUUGGAUGGGCACGCGUUGGAUUAGCUAGUUGGUAGGGUAAAAGCCUACCACGGCGACGAUCCAUAGCUGGUCUGAGAGGAUGAUCAGCCACACUGAGACUGUGACACGGCCCAGACUCCUACGGGAGGCAGCAGUGGGGAAUAUUGGACAAUGGGCGAAAGCCUGAUCCAGCAAUGCCGCGUGAGUGAUGAAGGCCUUAGGGUUGUAAAGCUCUUUUACCCGGGAUGAUAAUGACAGUACCGGGAGAAUAAGCUCCGGCUAACUCCGUG
rnacentral:rRNA from 1 species